UUAAAAGUGAUGAAGGAAAGAAGUAAUUAUGGAAAUCAUUCAGAGAGCUGAUGGUUGGUGCAAAUCAGUUGAGGAACAUGAUGAAAUACAUUCCAGAGCUUUAGGCUGAAAUCAUAGUAAGCUGAGACUGGUUCCWGACGUUAUUAAGGAAAGAGAUGAUAUUUAUUUAUCAAAUUUGGGUGGUACCACGGAAAAAUUCGUCCCUAGU
rnacentral:ncRNA from 1 species